UUGAUGAAUGAUAAUAGUUUAUAAACAUGGCAUACCUUGUGUUCAUAAUAACUCAUAUGUAGCCUGACUAAAUACAACAAGAAACAUUACUGAAAUACAACUCAUUGCUAAUACAUGGAAAUAACUUACUUGCAUUAUGGGACAUUUACGUGUAUCAGAACACUGGCAUUCUGAUGGCUAAUUUUACCUGGAUAUUUUAUGGGGGCUAUGGAACAUAUACGGUCUAUUUGCUGAACACAUGCGUUCUCUCCUAGAACGCAUGUGUUCUGCUAUGUUCUAUAGUGAUAAGCAGCACACUAAUGUUACAGGGGAGAACACGUGUUCCAUUAAUAGAACAUAGGGGUUCUAUUUAUCUAACUAGCAUUCGAAGCUGCCCAUGUCCUGUGAACCACAUCCGUUAUGUGAGAAACUGACGUGACGUAGCAUGUAUUUGGUGCUACAAUUUCCUAUCAUCUGAGGGGUAUCUGUGGUAAGUAUCCAUCUAGGAAUAAUUUUGUUUCAUAUUUAAUCCUUACCUAAAAUUGUGUAAUAUUUCGGCGAUAUAUUCAUAUGCUGAUUGCAUGCGAAGUAAAACCGGCCCCUUACGAAACUUAUAGCAGACGACAUAUUCCCCGCCAUUUUGACCGUCAUUUCUGCCAUUGUUCCACAAGCAUUAUUUGCAAAUUGUGAGAUGAAAUCCCAAUCCAAACUGCACUUGUGACAUUUUGAAAGUUUCCGUUUAUUUGAAUGAUGUUCAAAUAAAAUGAAUAUAUAUUUCAGGUUCUAUAUGAAUCGCCUGAAAGUACGAAGCGGGCAACAAAUCUCAUGCAACAAAUCUCUGAAGAUCUAAAUUUGGGAUCCGAGGGCAUGAUCAGCAUGCAUCGACAAUGCAUCGAAUCAGCAGAGAGUAGGGUUGCAUUGCAGAUAAUCAGUACCAUCCUUGGAAAUUAUUGCACACAGCACACGUCUACGCAAAGGAGGAAAAGAAACAAGGUUUUUCAGAUCAAAUAAGAAGGAUGUUGCGGAGUCGUAUUUGACAUGAAGUUUCCUGAAGCAUGCGAUGGUCAUGUCGCUGUUACGAACAACGUCCUUGGGGAUAUUUACCCACAAGAAACAUCUGCGAAGUACUUGCGCUUCGUGAAAGACUUGACACUUAAGUUAUCUUAAGUAUGGAAGUAUGCUUCACUUUGCUACAUGACAGUUUGUAAUGUUUCAUGAAGAACUCUGACUAACAUAUUUAAGUGACUUGAAUAUCCAUGAUCAUGACAAAUAAAUGUAAUAAAGAAUUCAUGGUUGCAGUUCA
rnacentral:lncRNA from 1 species